AGAUUAUUGGUCCGAAAUUUUGCGCCUAUGCUCUUUUAACAACUAAAGAUUUAUUACAACUAAAAAAAUAGAGAUGUAGUUGACAGUCUUGUAGUUAUUAAGGUAUCAAAGUUUAUUAUCCAUAAUCCCCGUGGUUCGUUCAACGUUAAUGCCCGACUAAAUAAUUUUUAUAGGCAAAAAAUUUGAAGGAUUUUUGAGUUAAUUAGUAGAUAUCUAGAUGUUACUAGUUUCAAAUAAGUAGAUUUUUCUACAACCACUAUUCCAAAUGCAUUUUUCUGCACAAUUUUAUGUUAACAAACUUAAUAUUUUCUCACAGAAUAACUGACAGUAGUGUG
rnacentral:lncRNA from 1 species